AUUGAACGCUGGCGGAAUGCUUUACACAUGCAAGUCGAACGUGAAAGCGGGGCAACCCGCAAGUAGAGUGGCGGACGGGUGAGUAAUACAUCGGAACGUGUCCAGUAAUGGGGGAUAACCUAGCGAAAGUUAGGCUAAUACCGCAUACGAUCUGCGGAUGAAAGCGGGGGAUGCGGCACUAAAGGCUUUUGGCGAAGGUGGCCAAAGGUGAGUCAAGAGCUUUUAGUGCUGCACCUCGCGUUAUUGGAGCGGCUGAUGUCUGAUUAGCUAGUUGGUGAGGUAAAGGCUUACCAAGGCGACGAUCAGUAGCUGGUCUGAGAGGACGGCCAGCCACACUGGGACUGAGACA
rnacentral:rRNA from 1 species